ACAUAAGCUAUGAGGAAGACAAGCAGAGGAUUGCCAAUGUCUGCAGAGAGCCGACGGUCGGUGUGAGUCGGUGUCAAGCAAUGCUAUGUAUCCCUUCUGAGCCGGAAUGCUGAAAGGAUUUCAGUAAGCGUUCCCGUGAUUCUGCGUUAAUGAAUAGGACUUGCUGGAGUCUGAAGUGGUGUUACGCAAUAGCGGCACAAUUUGAGUGGUACCGCGGGUAAUCUGAUUAUGAUACUCGUCUCAAAG
rnacentral:ncRNA from 1 species